rfam:Ovis aries breed Texel chromosome 5, whole genome shotgun sequence.
UCCCUGGUGGUCCAGUGGCGAAGACUCCGCACUCCUAAUUCAGGGGGCCCAGGUUCAAUUCCUGGUCAGGGAA